rnacentral:piRNA from 1 species
UGAAAGACCAGACCACGAUUAAAGAAU